CAGGGAAUCUUGCGCAAUGGGCGAAAGCCUGACGCAGCGACACCGCGUGGAGGAAGAAGGCCUUAGGGCUGUAAACUCCUUUUCUUAGGGAAGAGAACGGAGGGUACCUAAGGAAUAAGGCUCGGCUAACUACGUGCCAGCAGCCGCGGUAAUACGUAGGAUCCAUGCGUUGUCCGGAUUUACUGGGCGUAAAGGGUGCGUAGGCGGCUUGUUAAGUCUCAUGUGAAAACUCCCGGCUUAACUGGGAGGGGUCAUGGGAUACUGGCAAGCUUGAGGUCAGUAGAGGAGAGCGGAAUUCCCGGAGUAGCGGUGAUAUGCGUAGAUACCGGGAGGAACACCAGAGGCGAAGGCGGCUCUCUGGGCUGCACCUGACGCUGAUGCACGAAAGCGUGGGGAGCAAACAGGAUUAGAUACCCGCGUAGUCC
rnacentral:rRNA from 1 species